rnacentral:lncRNA from 1 species
AGGAUAUGCCCCUUUACAGGCCUCAUUUCCCCCCUGUACCCACCCAGGGUUGAGAUUGGAUGACCUCUCUGACUUCCCUCAACUUUCACCUUAGCUCUGCCCUCAAGGAGCUUAUAAUCUACUUGAGGAAACAGGGGAUCUCUCUUAAUUGAUGCAAUGAAUGCUUAUUGAAUGCUGCUAUGUGUGCAAGUUCGAAUAUAUAAAUAACAUGAUCUCCUCCCUCUAGAAGUUCACCAUCCAAACAAGAGUCCAAAGUGGGAAGUGGCUGUUGCUGUGAAGGAGAUGGAGGAUUCUCUGCACAUUCCAGGAAAAGAAGACACAUUUGUGCAGCUGCAGGAGCGGUUCGGCCUGCCUGCGACAACAGGAGCUGGUGGAGGUAACACUAUGUGAUUUCCAAGGCAAGAUCAUACAAAUGCCAUGGACUUCUGCUGUGCUCUCCUGGGAUGCUAGCCCAAGCCAGCUUGUGUGGAGCGACCAGAUGAAGAGGCCAUGUGUAGGAGUUCUGGCUGACGGCCAGUCUCAGCUGUUAGACCUUAUGUGAGCGAGGAAGCCUCCAGAUGAUUCCAGCCCUGGCUGCCAAGUCCCCCAGCCUUCCAGUCUUCCUGGCUGAGAAGUGGAGACUACUCGCCUCUCUUUGCCUUGUCUGAGUUCCUAACCCCCCAGAACCCAGGAAUGUACUAAAGUGAUCAUUUUCCAUCACUAAGGCUUGAUGGGGUUUAUUUGGCAACAACCAGAGUGGAAGGGAACUUGCAGAGGUGUGGGCAGGGUACAGG